GUGAGUGGGCAACUGAUUUUGUCCAAAGCCAAACAUCUCGAUGGGUGGGGGCUGGCCUGGUCCUUUUUGCCUCCUGCCAACAAGUUACUUUCAUCUCAUGUGGCUGUGAAGAAGAAUCUCUCUUUCAUGCUUGAGAUCACAAUGACAAAAGAUCACACGGAUGCAAUCUUGAAGGGUCUUUCAGCAAAACCGAGGGACACUUCUGGUGAAAGGCUCACUACAGCAGAGAGAUAGUCAACUUUCAGGAGAAUUCUCACCAAUAUUCGAACGACUCGAGGAAGACCUGAAACAGAGAUUCUGUAGAAGGAAAUAGGCCGCAGUAGACCUUUCUUUGUCUAAUUCCCAGCAAUAUAGCAGCACUAGACAUAUAUCCACAUCUGAUCUAGUUUUCUCAUCCGGUCCAAUAUUUCCUCUGUUUUGUAUACCCCAAACGCAUAAAACGUAACUUCAACGGUGUUUAUAUUGCACUCGUAAUUCAGUGUAGUGUCCUGAACACUUAUGAUUAUCUUCUCUUCACUUU